AUAACAUUUACAGAUACAACGGAUGAUGACUUUCAAAAAGAUUGUUUGAAAACAUCAAACAACUAUCGAAACCGUCACCACUCACCACAACUAUCCCUCAAUCAAUCUCUAAUAUCUUAUGCAAAAAAUCGAUGCAAACACAGGUAUCUCUUAAUGAUAAGCUUAUCCAUCCAAAUGAUAAGAGUAUCGGUGAAAACUUAAGUCGAAUAUCUACUAAUACUAAUAGUUGUAAUCGGGCUGUAAAUCGAUGGUAUAACGAAUCAUUGGCUUACAAUUAUAAUAAUUUUGUAUUUAGUAACAUUACCGGUCAUUUUACUCAACUAAUUCCCUAUAAAUUCCCAAUAAAUUCUCUAAAUUCCCAAAAAAUUCCAUAUAAAUUCCCAAUAAAUUAACUAAUAAAAAUAUUC